UACGGAGGAUCCAAGCGUUAUCCGGAUUUAUUGGGUUUAAAGGGUGCGUAGGCGGAUUAAUAAGUCAGUGGUGAAAGCCUGCAGCUUAACUGUAGAAUUGCCAUUGAUACUGUUAGUCUUGAGUCCAGUUGAGGUGGGCGGAAUGUGUCAUGUAGCGGUGAAAUGCUUAGAUAUGACACAGAACACCGAUUGCGAAGGCAGCUCGCUAAACUGGUACUGACGCUGAGGCACGAAAGCGUGGGUAGCAAACAGG
rnacentral:rRNA from 1 species